rnacentral:rRNA from 1 species
AUACAUGCAAGUCGAGCGGACUGAUGGGAGCUUGCUCCCUGAAGUCAGCGGCGGACGGGUGAGUAACACGUGGGUAACCUGCCUGUAAGACUGGGAUAACUCCGGGAAACCGGGGCUAAUACCGGAUAGUUCUUUUCCUCACAUGAGGAAAAGUGGAAAGGUGGCUUUUAGCUACCACUUACAGAUGGACCCGCGGCGCAUUAGCUAGUUGGUGAGGUAACGGCUCACCAAGGCGACGAUGCGUAGCCGACCUGAGAGGGUGAUCGGCCACACUGGGACUGAGACACGGCCCAGACUCCUACGGGAGGCAGCAGUAGGGAAUCUUCCGCAAUGGACGAAAGUCUGACGGAGCAACGCCGCGUGAGUGAUGAAGGUUUUCGGAUCGUAAAGCUCUGUUGUUAGGGAAGAACAAGUGCCGUUCGAAUAGGGCGGCACCUUGACGGUACCUAACCAGAAAGCCACGGCUAACUACGUGCCAGCAGCCGCGGUAAUACGUAGGUGGCAAGCGUUGUCCGGAAUUAUUGGGCGUAAAGCGCGCGCAGGCGGUCUCUUAAGUCUGAUGUGAAAGCCCACGGCUCAACCGUGGAGGGUCAUUGGAAACUGGGGGACUUGAGUACAGAAGAGGAAAGU